GACGAACGCUGGCGGCGUGCUUAACACAUGCAAGUCGAGCGGGGAUUGUGGAAGUCUUCGGACAGAAGCAAUUCUAGCGGCGGACGGGUGAGUAACGCGUGAACAAUCUGUCCUACACAGGGGGAUAACGGAUGGAAACAUCCGCUAAUACCGCAUAAGACCACGGGAUCACAUGUUUCUGAGGUAAAAGAUUUAUCGGUGUAGGGUGAGUUCGCGUCCGAUUAGCUAGUUGGUGAGGUAACGGCCCACCAAGGCGACGAUCGGUAGCCGACCUGAGAGGGUGAUCGGCCACAUUGGAACUGAGACACGGUCCAAACUCCUACGGGAGGCAGCAGUGGGGAAUAUUGGGCAAUGGGCGCAAGCCUGACCCAGCAACGCCGCGUGAGUGAAGAAGGUCUUCGGAUUGUAAAGCUCUGUCCUCAAGGACGAAAACAAUGACGGUACUUGAGGAGGAAGCCCCGGCUAACUACGUG
rnacentral:rRNA from 1 species